AUUAAAAUAAUUUUAUUCAUUUAAUAUAAUAUAAAAUUUAUUUCAAAUAAAGAUUAUUUAUGAGAGAAGUUAUUAAGUUACCGUCAAAUGGUCCAACUUGGGACAGUUUUCAAGUUUGACUUGAAAUUCCACCCACUUUGAGUUGAAAAAAUCUUGUUUUUUUUAGUCAAGAUUUUAGGUCUUGCAUUGCACUUUCAAUUCCUAUAAUUAUUAUUAUCACCAAUCUUACCUGGUGCCGAGUAAAAAAUAAAAACAUGGUGUCUCAAGUUACCCGUAGACAUUGGGUAACUUGGGACAGCAAUUUCAUUUGUUUGUAAAACAAUAUUCAAGACUAUGAGUGCUAACUUUGAACUAAGAUUCUUGUUUUGUUGAAGUCUAGACACAAUAGAUGAGCUUUAAAAAUUAUAUUAGAGUAAUUCAUGUUGUUGAUAUGGAGUAAUACUUGAACAAUUGCUAGAAAAAAGGAACAAUGAGGACAAUCUCUUCUUGAAAAUCGAAAUUAUUAUUGAAAUAUCUAUAACUUACUUACAAUUCUUAUAAAAAAUCAAAAUUAUUCAAGCUUACUAUCAAAUAUUUCAAAUUAUUAUAAAAAAUCAAAAUUAUUUAAGCUUACUAAACAAGAGAAAUCAAAACGUUUUAGGUGCCAUCUACAUCUAUGAAAAAUCAAAAUUAUUUAAGCUUACUAAACAAGAGAAAUCAAAACGUUUUAGGUGCGUGCUUUCUACAUCUAUGAAAAAUCAAAAUUAUUUAAGCUUACUAAACAAGAGAAAUCAAAACGUUUUAGGUGCCAUCUACAUCUAUGAAAAAUCAAAAUUAUUUAAGCUUACUAAACAAGAGAAAUCAAAACGUUUUAGGUGCCAUCUACAUCUAUGAAAAAUCAAAAUUAUUUAAGCUUACUAAACAAGAGAAAUCAAAACGUUUUAGGUGCUAUCUACAUCUCAUACGGAAAGGUAUAGCGCCCCCUCGACACAUUGAGGGGUUUCAAAGUUUCAAUAAUUUGAUUUUUAUUCACUGUCAAAAUAUCGUCUAUUUCUGGGAAGAAAUAAAUGUUCAUUGCUUUUGACGA